rnacentral:lncRNA from 1 species
CAGGCGAGUGGAGGAAGGCACUGCCCAACGUCGAGUUGGGAGCUGAGAAAUGCAGGAUUCAACAGUUUUCUGAUCGAGCUCUUGAGCCACUUGGUUGGGUUAAAUAUCCACAGGUAUUGGCGUUAUAUUUUGGCGCUUAUUAUUCUGAAAAGCAAUGCCGGCAUUGCAUUUUCUACAAUCUUGAUACGCAUCAACUCGACUCCAUAGAACUACCACAUUCCUAUAGUAGAGAUUAUGAUGCUUUUCCGCAUAAGAAUAAUCUGAUAUGGCUAAGUUAAAAGAGUAUUAGAAUUGUUAUUGUUUAUAUUUGGUUUAGUUAAAACAGUUCGUAUAUAGAUUAUUUGCAGAUAUUUUGAUGUUGGUUUAGUAUAUUGAAGGAUGAUAUAUAUAACUUUUUCUAGAGAAUGUUUAUGAUCACUUUGAAUGGAUUGUGACCUCACAAUCACAUUGCUAUUCCAUUGCAAA